rnacentral:rRNA from 1 species
AUUGAACGCUGGCGGCAUGCCUAACACAUGCAAGUCGAACGGAGGUAGGGGCAACUCUACUUCAGUGGCGGACGGGUGAGGAAUGCGUCGGAAUCUACCCUAUGGUGGGGGAUAACACAGGGAAACUUGUGCUAAUACCGCAUGAUGUCGAGAGACCAAAGCAGGGGACCGCAAGGCCUUGCGCGAUAGGAUGAGCCGACGCCCGAUUAGCUAGUUGGUAGGGUAAUGGCCUACCAAGGCGACGAUCGGUAGCUGGUCUGAGAGGAUGAUCAGCCACACUGGGACUGAGACACGGCCCAGACUCCUACGGGAGGCAGCAGUGGGGAAUAUUGGACAAUGGGCGAAAGCCUGAUCCAGCAAUGCCGCGUGUGUGAAGAAGGCCUGCGGGUUGUAAAGCACUUUUGUUCGGGAAGAAAACGGAUCGGUUAAUACCCGGUUCGGAUGACGGUACCGGCAUAAGAAGCACCGGCUAACUACGUGCCAGCAGCCGCGGUAA